GACGAUCGCUGGCGGCGUGCUUAACACAUGCAACUCGAACGGAAAGGCCCUGCUUUUGUGGGGUGCUCGAGUGGCGAACGGGUGAGUAACACUUGAGUAACUUGCCCGUGACUUUGGGAUAACUUCAGGAAACUGGGGCUAAUACCGGAUAGGAUUUCCUGCUUCAUGGUGGGGGUUGGAAAGUUUCGGCGGUUGGGGAUGGACUCGCGGCUUAUCAGCUUGUUGGUGGGGUAGUGGCUUACCAAGGCUUUGACGGGUAGCCGGCCUGAGAGGGUGACCUGCCACAUUGGGACUGAGGUACGACCCGGAUUCCUCCGGGAUGCCGCGGUGGGGUAUAUUGCACUAUGGGCGGGAGGCUGAUGCAGCAACGUAGCGUGCGGGAUGAAGGCAUUCGGGUUUAAGCACGCUUGCGCAUGUGACGAAGCGUGAAUAGCGGUAAUGGGUAGAGAAACAACAGCUCACUACAUA
rnacentral:rRNA from 1 species